GACGAACGCUGGCGGCGUGCCUAAUACAUGCAAGUCGAGCGGACUUUCAAGAAGCUUGCUUUUUGAAAGUUAGCGGCGGACGGGUGAGUAACACGUGGGCAACCUGCCUGCAAGACGGGGAUAACUCCGGGAAACCGGGGCUAAUACCGGAUAAUAUCUUCCUUCGCAUGAAGGAAGGUUGAAAGGCGGCGCAAGCUGCCGCUUGCAGAUGGGCCCGCGGCGCAUUAGCUAGUUGGUGAGGUAACGGCUCACCAAGGCGACGAUGCGUAGCCGACCUGAGAGGGUGAUCGGCCACACUGGGACUGAGACACGGCCCAGACUCCUACGGGAGGCAGCAGUAGGGAAUCUUCCGCAAUGGACGAAAGUCUGACGGAGCAACGCCGCGUGAGCGAAGAAGGUCUUCGGAUCAUAAAGCUCUGUUGUCAGGGAAGAACAAGUACCGUUCGAACAGGGCGGUACCUUGACGGUACCUGACCAGAAAGCCACGGCUAACUACGUG
rnacentral:rRNA from 1 species